CUGAAGAGAUUGACAGUUCAAACUAGACUAACCCUGGUUGAAAUAUAUUUUCGUUAGCUUAAGAUGUUUUAAAAGCUGUUUAAAUAUGUAACAGUAUGUAGUUGUUAUUAUAAAAUCUAUAUUAGUCACACCAUGGAGAAAUUUUACACAUGCAGCUGUUAUUUCACAGAUAAUAUCUUUCUUGAAGAAUACAAACUUCACGUUCGUUUCGUCUCAGAGAGACAGUUCAGGACGGACUAUCAAAAUAUCCUCAGAUCCCUGGGUUGUGUGUCUGAAUCUCAGUUCAGAGACGUGCUUGGAAAGAUUCAUGCAGAAAUCGAAAGACGCCAGAAUCAUAAAUUGAAAUCAGCACAGAGAGCAGCUACCAUCAAGGAGAUUUAUACGCCUCUACAUCAGCAUGUUUAUCAUUUGCAGGAAUCAUUUCUGGCCCCAGAACUCUUACAGUUGGUAAAAUACUGUACUUCAAGUAAUGCAACCGUGGAAGGAUUAAUGAAACUCAUCCAGAGAGAAGCAGCACCAAGGGUUUUCCGAUUCCCGGUGUUCCGAAAGGAAUUCUGCAAGGAUUUUAUAGAGGAGCUGGAGCAUUUUGAACAGUCUGAUGCACCGAAGGGCCGGCCAAACACCAUGAACAAUUAUGGAAUUCUCCUUGAUGAACUGGGCUUUGAUGAGAGUUUCAUCACCCCGCUGAGGGAGGUCUAUCUGCGUCCACUCACGGCUCUGCUCUACAGCGACUGUGGAGGAAACUGUCUGGACAGUCACAAGGCUUUCGUGGUCAAGUAUGCUAUGCGUGAAGACUUGGACCUUAGCUAUCAUUAUGACAACGCUGAAGUCACUCUGAAUGUAUCACUGGGGAAAGACUUUAUGGAGGGGAACUUGUUCUUUGGAGACAUGAGACAGGUGCCUUUGAGUGAGACGGAGUGUGUGGAGGUGGAGCAUCACGUAACUGAAGGUCUGCUACACAGAGGCCAGCAUAUGCACGGUGCUCUGCCUAUCUCCUCAGGCACACGCUGGAACCUGAUCAUAUGGAUGCGAGCUUCACGUGAGAGGAACAAACUCUGCCCUAUGUGUGGUAAGAGACCCACACUAGUGGAGAGUGACGGAUUCAGUGAUGGCUUCACCAUGGACCCUGACGACACUAGUAGUACUUGGUCAUGUUCUUUAACAUGAUCAGGGCAUAUGGGUGCCAUUAUAAAGAUUUUAGGUGCCUUCUUCAAAAUCAGUACUAAAGGUGAAAGUGUUGAUUUAUGUUUUGACUGUAAAUGACCCAAUUAAAUAUUCAGAUAAUUGUAAAUGUAGUGGUUUUAAACUUGCUGUUUAUGUUAGUCAAUGUCUUAUCUUAGGAUGAACUGUUAAUAUAUACAAGGGAUUUUAAUUGUACAACAAAAUAAACAAAAAAGAAGAUGAAGAAUUUUAAGUUAUAUGGCUUGUAUGUACAAAAAACAUUAAUUUCAGUAAAUAUUUUUAACCUGCCACCUCAUUUCCUUUACCAAAAUUCAAGUUGCCAGGAAACAGAAUUAAGCAUCUUAAAAAGUUCUUUUUUCCUUCUCCAGAGGUUAAAUCUCAUGUCGGCCAGUAUCCAUCAUUUGCAACCUUUCCAUUUACACAUAUUCAUAUACAGAAAAAACAUCCCACGUACACUUAAGUCACACAAACGCUUUGAAACUUUCAAGGAAACAAAAUGAAAGGUCAACAUCUCUUUCAUUUGCUAUUUCAAAGUUUGUUUUUUGGUUGUUUCUUUUCCCCAACUUGAAACCUGAUUGUUGAGUGUUACAGGCAGGAAAAGAAUGGGAAAGGAAGGAAAAGCAAGACUGUUCAGAGAAAGGCAACACUACUAAACCCAGAGGUAGCAGUUACAGAGGAAAACAAAAUCAUAAUUGUUCAUCCCUGUAAUCAACAUAUCAAAGGGUUUAUAUCUGUGUCGUCAUAGUCCGACUCCAUCUCAAUCUUCACCUGGGGCACGGGGCAGGACAUCCCUCUG